GCGGGAAUCGAACCCACAACGUUCCGCUUACCGGGCAGAUGCCAUGUCCACUAGGCU
rnacentral:tRNA from 1 species